GGGCUGCGAUGUGGGGCUGAGAUGUGGGGCUGAGAUGUGGGGCUGAGAUGUGGGGCUGAGGGCUGCGAUGUGGGGCUGAGACGUGGGGCUGAGACGUGGGGCUGAGACGUGGGGACGGACACGGAUGGGGACAGACCGACGGACACGGACGGGGACAGACAGACAGGGACAGGGACAGACGGACAGGGAUGGGGACAGACGGACAGGGACAGACAGACGGACAGGGACGGGGAGGGGCGGAUGGGGACAGACAGACGGACACGGGUAGGGACAGACGGACAGGGAUGGGGACAGGGACAGACGGACACGGAUGGGGACAGACGGACAGACAGGGAUGGGGACGGACGGAUGAGGACAGACAGACGGACAUGGAUGGGGACAGACAGACGGACACGGAUGGGGACAGACGGCCAGGGACAGACGGACACGGAUGGGGACAAACAGACACAGACGGGGACAGACGGACAGGGAGGGGGACAGACAGGGACGGACAGACGGACACGGAUGGGGACAGACGGCUGGGGACAGACAGACACGGAUGGGGACAGACGGACAUGGAUGGGGACAGACGGACAGGGGCAGGGACAGGGACAGACGGACACGGACGGGGACAGACGGACAAGGACGGGGACAGACGGACAAGGACGGGGACAGAGAGAGACGGGGACGGACAGACGGACAGGGAUGGGGACAGGGACAAACGGACACGGAUGGGGACAGACGGACGGACAUGGGGAGAGACAGACGGACAGGGAUGGGGACGGACGGAUGAGGACAGACAGACGGACACGGAUGGGGACAGAGGGACACGGAUGGGGACAGACGGACAGGGACAGACAGACGGACAGGGAUGGGGACAGACGGAUGGGGACAGACGGACGGACACGGGUAGGGAGAGACGGACACGGAUGGGGACAGACGGACAGGGACAGACGGACAGGGGCGGGGACAGGGACAGACGGACACAGAUGGGGACAGACGGGAUGGGGACAGACGGACAGGGAUGGGGACAGGGACAGAUGGGGACAGGGACAGACGGACAAGGACAGGGACAGACGGACACGGAUGGGGACAGACGGACAGGGAGGGGGACAGACAGGGACAGACGGACACGGAUGGGGACAGACGGCCGGGGACAGACGGACAAGGACGGGGACAGACGGACACGGAUGGGGACAGACGGACACAGAUGGACACGGAGGGGGACAGGGACAGGCGGACACGGAUGGGGACAAACGGACAGGGAUGGGGACAGACAGGGACAGACAGACGGACACGGAUGGGGACAGACGGCCGGGGACAGACGGACA
rnacentral:lncRNA from 1 species